rnacentral:rRNA from 1 species
GAUGAACGCUAGCUACAGGCUUAACACAUGCAAGUCGAGGGGCAGCGCAGUGUAGCAAUACAUGGGCGGCGACCGGCGCACGGGUGCGUAACGCGUAUCCAACCUUCCCGUUACUCAGGGAUAGCCUUCCGAAAGGGAGAUUAAUACCUGAUGGUGUUUGAAUUCCGCAUGUUAUUCAAACUAAAGAUUCAUCGGUGACGGAUGGGGAUGCGUGACAUUAGGUAGAUGGCGGGGUAACGGCCCACCAUGCCCACGAUGUCUAGGGGUUCUGAGAGGAAGGUCCCCCACACUGGAACUGAGACACGGUCCAGACUCCUACGGGAGGCAGCAGCUAAGAAUAUUCCGCAAUGGGGGAAACCCUGACGGAGCGACGCCGCGUGGAUGAUGAAGGCCGGAAGGUUGUAAAGUCCUUUUGGGCGCAAAGAAUAAGUACGCGAGGAAAUGCGCGUGCGGUGACGGUAGCGCCUGAAUAAGCAACGGCUAAUUACGUGCCAGCAGCCGACGG